rnacentral:rRNA from 1 species
UACGUAGGGGGCAAGCGUUGUCCGGAAUCAUUGGGCGUAAAGAGCGCGUAGGCGGCCCUGUAAGUCCGCUGUGAAAGUCAAGGGCUCAACCCUUGGAUGCCGGUGGAUACUGCAGGGCUAGAGUCCGGAAGAGGCGAGUGGAAUUCCUGGUGUAGCGGUGAAAUGCGCAGAUAUCAGGAGGAACACCGAUGGCGAAGGCAGCUCGCUGGGACGGUACUGACGCUGAGGCGACGAAAGCGUGGGGAG